rnacentral:misc_RNA from 1 species
AACGCACAUUGCGCCCUUUGGUAUUCCUUAGGGCAUGCCUGUUCGAGCGUCAUCUAACCCCCUCAAGCACUGCUUGGUGUUGGGCGCUUUGUCCCGCCCCGGCGCGGACUCGCCUCAAAAGCAUUGGCGGCCUGUGUAUUGGCUUCGAGCGCAGCAGACGCGCGCCUCGCGAACCUCUGGCACGGGCGUCCAUCAAGACGCACCCCAAAGUUUGACCUCGGAUCAGGUAGGGAUACCCGCUGAACUUAA